CCCUCUCCCGCGACGCAGCUCGGGUCCUCACUUCCAGUCGCUCCCGUCGCCACCUCAGGGCAACUCGAUCUCCGGCAAGGGCACCAUCACGUCCGCCUUGGUCUCGCCGAUCUUCCCCGACCAGUCGCCGGCCGUGGCACGCCUGGAAACGAUCGGAAACUGCAGAUUUCCGACGGAGCUCGCCCGAACUUCUCUCCUCUCGAUCUCCUCCGUUUCUCAACCAAAUCAGUCGAGUGAGGCACCAGGAGUCCGCCUAAUCAUCAGGAGGGACCCUCGAGAGGUCCAGCUAGCUCGGACCAGCAGCCUUAGAAGAACGAAGGAAACCACCCGGGCCAUCAGCUUAGCUCCCGCCCCACCACCAAAGUGUAUGAUUUCGUUGUAACUCUUUUGUUAAUCCUGUAAAUUUUGUAUAAACAUGCUCUGAUAACCUGUUGAACAUAAGAAACUGGAGUUGUGACCUGUUUGUUGACGUAGUCUGGUUGUUGGUAGGAUUUUGAAAUUGUUUGGCAGGUGGAAGACUUUGGGUAUGGUCAAUUUACAGGGGAGACU